GCAUCUGAUGGUGCCAUUAUGAAGAUGAACUGUUAACUAAAUUGCUUUGGUGGAAUAUGUAUGCUAGGGAAGAGGAGAGAGAAAAAAAAUGUUUCAGAGGAAGGAGCCCCUGCCUUCUGGUGAAGAGUAUUCAAGAUGAAGAUAAACUUUUCAACUUAAUAUCGAGAGUUUGAUAGCAGAAGGGAUCUACUCUUGAAAGUCCAAAAAAUGUUGUUGCUAUAGGAACAGGCUCGGUGAACAAGACAUUUGAGAAGAGAAGGUCAAAGACCCAGCUGCACUUCUGCUUCACUGCUGAACUUCUGCUUCUUCCUAUCAGGGAAUACACUGCUCCUCACAUUAGGGAUUUCCUAAAAUUGUUAGGUGUUUUGAACAGAACUGGCUAUACCAAUGAGGCUCAAACAAGAAUCAUAAAGUGCAUGGUGCUUCUCUCCCUCUCUGUUUUCUUUAAAAAGAAAACAUUCUUGACAAGAUGAAUACAAUAUUUUCAUUCUAGCAAAUUUCUGCUGUCAGAGGUUAUAUUUACAGGAUAGAGAGAUUUCUCAAACAUGACCUUUUCUCGUGUAAUACCAGAGUGAAAUUUUAGAAAAGUCUGUGUGUGUGUGAUGCGUGCGUGUGUGUGUGUGUGUGUGUGUGUGUGUGUGUGUCUCGCAGGCUGAGAAGUGGGAUGGGAAGAAGGGAAUGUGGCUAGAAUCUUACCAUCUCAUUCUCUUCUCCUUCAUUGAGCAGAGCGUGCUGGCCCUUCUCAAAGUGUCCCAUGAAAAAGUUAUUCCACACCUCCUCCCUGACCUUGUCGUGCAGACGCUUCCAGGAUGAACUCCAACUCGCCGAGCCACCGCAGCUCCUCAGCUGACUAAAAGAGUUAAUGAUCCUCCAGGUUAAAACUCCUCCUUGAGCACACACCUUCUCUCAACAAAUGACAAUACUUGGCAAACUGAACUCCUCCCACGAGUCGCCCUCUGCUAGGAGGAAUUGCUGGCUGCUCCCUGCUUAUUGCAUUCUCUCAGAGCAGCUGUCUCAAAGGAGGCUGCUCCCAUGCCGAUCUUUUU
rnacentral:lncRNA from 1 species